rnacentral:rRNA from 1 species
AAAAAAAACUGGAAAUGCCCGAUCUCAUCUGAACUCGGAAGUAAAGCAGGGUCGGGCCUGGUUAGUACUUGGAUGGUAGACUGCCUGGGAAUACCAGGU